UUUUCCUCCCCACCUGCUAGGUUCUUACUCAUCUUCAAGGAUUAGAAAGUCAUGUCUGGAGUACAUUUCCUGAUGUGUGCGGGAUGCCUGUGUCUCUUAGUCCUACUGUGUAUUCCAACUGCAGGGACCACCAUCCGGGGGCUGCCAUUCUGUGCUCCUGUUUGAGUGUUCCACCAUACUCUGGGCUUCAGAAGGCUACACUGAUGCUCCUCCCAUUUGAGCAUCUCUGAGAUGAUGCUCCAAUGAGCAGAGGGGCCAGGCAUGAGCACCCAACACUACUGAGAAAACCAGCUUAGUCAGAGUGGUCCCCAUAUAGGGGAGAAGCACACACUGGCAAGGCUAGCAGGCUAGGUGGAAGCUUCUGGGGGAUGGGAGGAUGAGGAGAUGACACACCGAGAGAAGGAGGGGGAAAGGAGGGCGUGGAAGAGUUUCAGAUGGGGAAGGACUGACAGGCAGCUCAUCAUAGGUCUAGACCUGGUCCCUAGCCAGCACAGAAUAGAACACAGCUCCACAUUUUGAUAGCAUCUCACAAGUAUGGAAUAGGCAAUGGGUCUCAGGGAACAGGUCCAGAGCUCAGGAUAUUGCUUGCCUGCCCCCAGGACAGGAAUGAUGGAUUCACAGGGCACAGGCUUCCAAGGCUAUGCUACUUCCAGGGGAGGGUGUUGCUGGGCACUGGAGAGGCCACAUCUCAGGGCCAAGGCUAUGGAAGGGAAGCACUGAGGCAAUUCAGAGCUUUACGCUCAAAACAAAACAAGAAUUAAGGAAGUUGGAAAGUUUCUCUGCAGCUUGCAGAGAGUCAAGGCCAGAGAAGCAGAACAUUGUGUCAUGCAGUCCCAGCAGUUGGCAGAGCUGUGGGCACUACGGCCUGGAGGCCCCAUGCCAAGACUUAGCUCAGCCACUCAAGUUCCAGUAAGGAAGGGCCUGUCCCUUUGACUGAGGGAGCUAUUUUUCUGGUGCCAACACUUUCUGAACCUGGACAGCAGGGGACCUCUUGCCAGUUUCUAUGCCUGCAGUGUUUGGAGAACCUGGAACGUGCCAGGCUCUGGACUGUGGUACCUCAGGGCAAAUUAAGGAUUCAUGAGCCAUGGAAAUGGUUGGGAAACCCAGGGAACUUGGGGGAAUACAGACUUUUGUAGCAUCCAAGGGUGGGUUGUUGGACUUUCAUUCAAAGUCAAGUGUUUUGUUUGGUGUGUAUGUGGGCACACGUAGGUGCAUGUGGGUCUGGAGGACAACCUUGAUUUUUGUUCCCUGGGCACUAGCCACCUUGCUUUUUGAGACUGUUUCUCAUUGGUCUGGAACUCACCAAAUAGCUAGUUUGGCUGACCAGGAGCCGACCUGUUUUUAUCUCCUCAGUGGUGGGGUUACAACUGCAGGCCUGACCAUGCCUGACUUUUUAAUGUGGGUUUUAGGGCUCAAAUCAGAUCUUUAUGCUUGCAUGCAAGUACUUUAUCAACUGAACUAUCUCCCCAGUCCCCAAGUCUCAAGAGGCAACAAAUCUCAAGAAUGAACUAACUAGGAAACUUUCUCAUUUCUGUGCGAUAAAGGAAAAAAAAAACAAAGUACAUGCAAAUCUGGGAGAAGUACACGGUGCACGGCUUCCUUAGUUUUAAAACAUUAAGUAUCUAUGUGCCUCAGGCAUGUUUCAGAGGCACUACACAGAAACAUCUUCCGUCUUUGCACUGAGAAUCAGUUGCGCACAUCUCAGUGCUGGAUUCACCUCUUACGACAACAUCCUUUACACCCUGUACUGCUGAAUGCUGGCAAUUCCAAGUCUAAGCUUGGCUAUUCUUGUGUCGACUGAUGAACGAACACGCAAGAGCCAUCCCAUGGCGCUCAGCCUGAAAGAGAAUAGCUUUGCUUUGGUGACAUCAUCCCUGUCCAAACAGCAGGGCUUAGUCUACUCAUUAAAGCCAAACCCAAACCAAGUACAAUAAAAUACAGUCACUGACACAGAAGAAGGAAAUACGCCUCAAAAAACUAAGAGUAAUGAUGAGACCAUUGGGCACACUGAAAACCUAGUGCAAGUAUCUACUGUUGACUAGAUACUUCUUGACUCUGGGUAUGAGAAAAACAACCGAAAGUCACACAUAUGUUCACACAAAACAACGGCGAAAGGCAAAAUGCAGAACUGUAUUUUUGCAGCAGUGGAGGGAUUAUGCAUGAUUUUCCAGCCUUGGCUUUUUCUGGUCUUGUCGGUUAAAAAGAAACCCACACCGUGCUGGGAUUUCAUAAAAAGAGAAAGAUGCCAUAAAAAGAAGUGUUCGGAGGGUACAAUGCAAAGGGAGGGCUUGCUGUUUUCCCUUUGGCAAUAGGGCGCCAUGUUAUUUCCCAUUGGAGCCGGAGCAAGGGGAGGAAGGAGCUGAAGAGCGGGAAGCAGUGAACAAGGCUGAAAGGUUCAGACGGCAGUGGGUGCUAACAAAGAACACAGAGGUCCCACUUAGAAAGCCAAAGUGUGAAUCCAGCUCCAAUCACAUCCACUUACAGGAAGCCGUAUAGUCUACCUUCCUCUACCGUCUCAACCAGAACAUCAUUCACGUAAUUCACCUAUUUAAAAAGUUCCCUGAUGGCUUUAAUAUACCCAUAGCUGUACAACUGUCAUUGUGAUAGAUUAUAAGGCAUUUUAUGGCUACCUCCCUACCCCUCCGAGGUAGUCUGUGUCCGUUAUCAGUCCCCCCACCCCCACCCCCAUCCAAUGUUAAUGGUUUGAAUAUGAACUAUCCCUUGGUCCCAGCUGGUGAUCCUGAUCUGGUUACUGUGUUUCUUUUAGGAGCUGGAACCUUGGUGGAGGAAGUGGGUCAUGGCAGGAAUAUGAAACGUGAUUGGCACACCACCAACUGCUUUCUGUGUCUAUGGAUUUGCUUCCUCUGAGCACAUCUACAAUGGAGUCUCAUAGGCGCUGCUGCGAGGCUGGCUUUUUUCACUAAGCAUUGUUUCCGUUCAUGUGGUACCAUGGACCAUUGCUUCAUUUCUAUUUAUAGUUGAGAAAGCUCUUUAGGUUCCUUGACUCCCAUGGGUUCAUUUAUCAAAUGGGUUUCUCUUCCUUCUCUUUUUCUUCCCCUUCCUCCUCCUUCUUUCAGUAUUAAAAAUGGAAUAAUGAA